rnacentral:rRNA from 1 species
ACAUGCAAGUCGAAGGGGUAACAGGGAAGAGCUUGCUCUUUCGCUGACGACCGGCGCACGGGUGCGUAACGCGUAUACAACCUACCUUUUGGAGGGGAAUAGCCCAGGGAAACUUGGAUUAAUGCCCCAUAGUAUGGGAAUAUCUCCUGAUAUUUUCAUUAAACAUUUAUGGCCAUUAGAUGGGUAUGCGUCCUAUUAGUUAGUUGGUAAGGUAACGGCUUACCAAGGCAGCGAUAGGUAGGGGUCCUGAGAGGGAGAUCCCCCACACUGGUACUGAGACACGGACCAGACUCCUACGGGAGGCAGCAGUGAGGAAUAUUGGACAAUGGGCGAGAGCCUGAUCCAGCCAUGCCGCGUGCAGGAAGACUGCCCUAUGGGUUGUAAACUGCUUUUACAGAGGAAGAACCACUCCCACGUGUGGGAGUUUGACGGUACUCUGCGAAUAAGGAUCGGCUAACUCCGUGCCAGCAGCCGCGGUAAUACGGAGGAUCCAAGCGUUAUCCGGAAUCAUUGGGUUUAAAGGGUCCGUAGGCGGGCAGUUAAGUCAGUGGUGAAAGUCUUCCGCUCAACGGGAGAACUGCCAUUGAUACUGAUUGUCUUGAGUUAUUAUGAAGUGGUAGAAUGAGUAGUGUAGCGGUGAAAUGCAUAGAUAUUACUCAGAAUACCGAUUGCGAAGGCAGAUCACUAAUAAUAUACUGACGCUGAUGGACCAAAGCGUAGGUAGCGAACAGGAUUAGAUACCCUGGUAGUCUACGCCGUAAACAAUGGUUACUAGCUGUUCGGCCCGAUUAAGGGCUGAGUGGUUAAGCGAAAGUGAUAAGUAACCCACCUGGGGAGUACGUUCGCAAGAAUGAAACUCAAAGGAAUUGACGGGGGCCCGCACAACCGGUGGAGCAUGUGGUUUAAUUCGAUGAUACGCGAGGAACCUUACCAGGGCUUAAAUGUAGUCUGACAGGAGUGGAAACACUUUUUUCUUCGGACAGAUUACAAGGUGCUGCAUGGUUGUCGUCAGCUCGUGCCGUGAGGUGUCAGGUUAAGUCCUAUAACGAGCGCAACCCCUGUGGUUAGUUGCCAGCGAGUAAUGUCGGGAACUCUAGCCAGACUGCCGGUGCAAACCGUGAGGAAGGUGGGGAUGACGUCAAAUCAUCACGGCCCUUACGUCCUGGGCCACACACGUGCUACAAUGGUAGGGACAGAGAGCAGCCACUUCGCGAGAAGGAGCGAAUCUACAAACCCUAUCACAGUUCGGAUCGCAGUCUGCAACUCGACUGCGUGAAGCUGGAAUCGCUAGUAAUCGCAUAUCAGCCAUGAUGCGGUGAAUACGUUCCCGGGCCUUGUACACACCGCCCGUCAAGCCAUGGAAGCCGGGGGUACCUGAAGUCGGUCACCGCAAGGAGCCGCCUAGGGUAAAACUUGGUAACUGGGGCUAAGUCGUA